CUGUAAGGCAAUAGGUAAGUAUUCAAAGCACUGUUAGUUAUAUAAAAAUCAAAUCACUGUGAUUUAUGUGCAUAGAUCAAUGUUAUGUUAUUCAUUCUCUGUUCAUGAACUGUCUUAGGGUUUUUAUUGCUGUAAGACACCGUGACCACAGCAACUCUUAUAAAGAGCAUUUAAUUGGGGUGGUUCACUUACAGUUUCAGAGGUUCAGUCCAUUAUCAUCCUAGUGGGGGGAAUGGUGUCAUGCAGACAAAUAUGGUCUGGAGUAGUAGCUGAAAGUCUUACAUCUUGCAGGCAACAGGAAGUUGAAUGAAACACUGGGCAAUAUCUUGAGCACAGGAAACCUCAAAGACCAUCCCCACAGUGACACACUUCCUCCAAGAAGCCAUUCCCACUCCAGCAAAGCCACACCUCCUGAUAGUGCCUCUCCCUGUGAGAUUAUGAGGGCCAAUUAUGAGGGCACACAAACUACCAUUUGAACUCAACAGUGAACAUACUAAGGGAUGAGAGGCAGACACUGAUGGCUCCAGAGAUGCACAGCCAUCUACUCAUUAUCAUGGCCUCCUGUGAUGGUUCUUCCCCUGGUCUUGAUAUCCUGAUCAUGAUGAAGAAGCUGAGCUACUUCUAUGGCACCAAUAAGAAGAUGCUGCUGGUCUGGGGCCCAAAGUUUGAGAAGCAUGUAUGGAACUAUCACACCCUUUUAAAAGGGGGAAGAAGACAAGGCCUACAGAGUUAAUCUCCUGUGAUCCGUUAAUGUGAAUCAAAGCAGACGGCCCUGGAUUUCAUCAGAUCCUUAAAAGAAAGCCAUGCAGACUAGAAAGAAGACUUUGAAUAAGCUUGUGUAAUGGAAAGUAGAGCCGAAUGCAAAGAGGAAAAUAUGACUAGAUGGAAGAAUCAGUCAGACUCUGCAGCUGAGAAGGGUCUGGGCAAUGAAGAUAAGAUGCCUGAACUCUGUAGAAAACCUCAAAGCAUCAGGGGACAUGGGAGGAAAGGACCCAGAACUUGCCUAACUACAGACUCAAUACAUCCUUUCAUUCCACAAUUCAUUCUCUAAAUGUUCUGCCAGGAAAUUGCUAGAAUCAGGAGGUAUCUGUUAUGUGUCAGAAUCAUUUUAGGCAUCUUUAUCCAGAAAAUAAGACACCUAAGUUUCCUACUUUGGUAGAGUUUACAGAGAUGAGCAUAUACCAUAUAUGCUUAUAAUACCAACUGCUUAUGGGUUAGGUAGAAAAUGGCAGCAGAGUAGGGAACAUGAGUGGGCUGCACCUCCAAUAGAAUCAUCCAGUGAGGACUCGAUAAGCAUGUGGCAUCUGGGAAAUAAUGACUUGAGGUGAAGAGGUAAGUAUGCAAGGCUAGAGAGAAGAUUCUAGGCACAGAAGACAGUAGGUCAAGAUCCCUGCAUAAGGGAGGAGGUUGAUAAGUUUAAGGAACAAAAAAGAUGGCAGCCUGGAGAGCUAGCUCAGUAGUCAAGAUGCUUGCUGCUCUUGCAGAAGACUAGAGUUCAAUUGCAGGAGAGCUGACAUUCUCUCCUGGAAUCCAGGUGUACCCGCAGGCAAGUACUUGCAAACAUGCAUGCAAGCAUACACACAUAUACAAAUAAAAAUAGUAUAGAUCACA
rnacentral:lncRNA from 1 species